AAGUUAGUAAGUAAGUGAAUGAGUAAGUUAGUAGGUAAGUGAAUGAGUAAGUUAGUAGGUACGUGAAUGAGUAAGUUAGUAAGUAAGUGAAUGAGUAAGUUAGUAACUAAGUGAAUGAGUAAGUUAGUAAGUAAGUGAAUGAGUAAGUUAGUAAGUAAGUGAAUGGGUAAGUUAGUAGGUACGUGAAUGAGUAAGUUAGUAGGAAAGUUAAUGAGUAAAUUAGUAAGUGAGUAAAUAAAUGAAUUAAUAAAUAAACAGAUUAAGGGCUCAUGGUGGCUUAGUGGUUAGCACUCGCUAACUUAGUGGUUCACCUCACACCUCCAAGGUUGGGG
ensembl:lncRNA